UGGGAGACAACUAAAAAAUCAUAAUCGAAAUAUUGUCUGUGGCAAAAAUAAAAAGUUUCGCGACAAAAAAAGUAUUCGAGCGCACGCUACCGCGCGCGAGAUUAUCGGCAUUUUAUACGCUCGUGUACAAUAAUUACCAAAUGCGGACGGGUUAAUGAAAAUAAUUGACUCGAUCAGGCGGUGUUAAAUACGCAACAAAAGCCUCCGGUAAACAAAAAAGUUAAAUAAAUUGAACCAUGUAAUCGAGUUAAAAUGCAAAAAAAUUGUCGACGCAAUAAAGCAUUAAAAAAAACAAUAUGAAGUAAUAUUAUAUUAAAUUUGUUUAUUUUUUUCUCUUAAGUCUUCAUCCAAGUAAUAUAAAAUAUUUGUAUAUACUUGUAAAUCAUACAAAAAUAGACUUAAUCAAACUAUCGCAGUACCAAAAACAACCAGUUAACUGUACAAAGUUCAUAAGUUUGUACAAUGAUAACUUUAACUAGGUUAAUUAGUUAAUUAGAUAGAAAUAAUAAUUAAUUAGUUCGGUGAAAAGGUAAAAAAAAAAAACCUAGCUUCUUAACUAGUUAGAUAAACUAGUUUAUGUUGAUCAUUGUUAAUUACUGUACUGUAGAUAUGGAACAAAUAAUAAUCACAAAUAAAAUUGUUAGAAUAUUCUUCUCUACUAUACUGAAGAAAGCCAGAUCCAAAAAAAUUAAUUUUUAACCGAACUUUUCCUAUAUUGUAAAUCGGCUAGGUUAGGCGUUUCGAGACUAGAUUACUAAAUAAACACUCGUAUAAUAGUAUUUAAGCCGACGACAGGGACAUACGUCAGGACCACGUUAAAAUAUCCUGAGGGUAUAACAGAUUUUUAACCAUUCGAUUUUUACGAUAAUUAUUAUUAUAAGUCAGUUAUUGUACGCAUAAGAAGAAAAAGACGGCAAAUACGAGAGUAUUAUGCGAUAUUAAUCGAAUGUAGAACAGCUGACUGUGUAUACGAUUAUGACAGAGCGGAGCAUUAAAUUAUACAAAGCGAGUGCGUGUUCGAUAAUAUUUCAGUGUCGACCGUUAACUAGACUGCAGUAUAUCAAUAAAAUGCGGUUUUAAUUUUUCAACAAUUAGUUAAAAUUGGUUUGUUGUUACGCCAUGCGAUUGAUAUAACUCGUGUUAUUCAAUAUACAGAAACAGAUUUUUGACCGUAUUAAAAAAAAAAAAAAAAAAGGACUGACAUACUUCGCACUUGUAGGUAGGAAGUUGGAAAGUUAGUAUACAAACGGUUAUUUAAUGUAUAUAUAUAUAAUAUAAGUAACGAUAAACCGUUGCUAACGAAAAAACGAUUUUUAGUCGAGUUCAGUUGAUAGUGUUGCUUUGUCAACAAUAUAUAAACAUAUAAUGGCAUAUUAUGGUAAAAUGAUUACAACAAUGUGUGUUUCCAUGACUACAAUGAUUGUUUAAAAAAGAUUAAAAUAAUAAAAACUUAAUAAUAACAUUAAAUAAAUAAAAACGGUUGCCAAUGAACACCUUAUUUUUAAUCUUUCGAUCUUUUUUAACCUAAUUAACCGGGUUUUCCUUAUUAUCUCAAAUAUUAAUGGGAGUUUCAAAAAAUGGCCUUUUAAAAAGAUCAUCCAGAAAACUUUUCCUUUCAGAAACGGUGCUUUACUUGACAAGCAGAGUAAGCUUUUUGGUAGAAAAAAUGUUCACAUAAAAAAAUAAACAUCUUUUUAAAACCAAUAUAUUCUUCGCUAAACUCAAAAUCUAAAAAGAAUAAAAAAAUAUUGUACAUAUUAUGUAUUUUGUAGUUUUGAACACGUAACGGAGAACAAAAAUUAAAUCUACACGAAUUUCUCGGAUGUUGAUAUGAUUAUUACGAUGGCCGUUCGACUAGAUUUGUUUUCCCUGUUCCGCUCCCAAUCAAUAAGCGACUUAUGUAAAUUUGGAAAUUUGAAAGAAAGAAAUCGAAAAAAAAAUACUAAAUAUUAUAAUGCGUACCUACAUAAAAACCAAUUUCAAGAGGGCGCAAAACCCGCCAAUGUAAAUUAGCUGUAAGAAACUUAAUCAAAUAUUACUUUAAGUAGAAUAAAAAUUGUGGCGUUUGAGAAAUAUAUUGAUGUGUAAAUUUUUGAGAUUAAAACGUAGACAAAUUUUUUUUUUAAGGUGGUCAGAUUGUCAAUUUUAGCACUCCCACGCCCCCUGAGACCUUUUCGAUACGCGAUUAUUAUGGAUAUUACACGAUUUAAGAUUAUUGGAUAUAUUAAAUAGAGAUUUUAAUGAUUAUGAUAAACCGUCACCGAUUAUUAUAUUUUACGAUGAGUCGACAAAAUCUUUACAAUAAUAUUUUAUACAGAAUGCACGCUUGGACACCGUUAUCUUAAUCUUCGUGGGUUUUAAUAGGAAAGCCUACAAUGUCACCGCGGGGUCUAUAUUACCGUAAUAACAGGAAUUUGAUUACUCUUUGGUAAGAGUGGGAGGUGGGCGAAGGAAUAAAGAGUAUCUUCGAUGGAAGUCUUUUUUUUUUUAAUUGUUUAAUUUAACGGACAAUUUUGAAGCGAUUAUUUCUGCGGAGUUUCACGCGUCAUAAAUUGCGGGUGGAUACAAAGGCACUACGUGUAUAACCACAUUAAGGCGUAUUCGUACCAUAUGUCAGUUUUGAAAUGUUGUUAAUUUCAAAAUUGAUGAGGACCCCCAAUAUACUAACACAUAUGAUGUUUUGAAUAAUAACUGCGAAUGCUGGACGAUUUUUUUGAUGGGUACAAUAGUUAAUAAAGAUGCGGCCAUUUCUAUACACCUUAUGCAAAGAUCGUCAGAUAAUAAGUACCACAGUGGUUAAACCAGUGGCGCCGAAACCAGCAGUCAAGGGUGGCGGUUGUUAUCCUUCUUUUAAUGGGUGGGCGCGGCGGUGGACCCGAUAAUGGAUAUCUGAACCAUAUUUUUUUUAUCGAAAUGGUACACGUGGAAUAUUAAUUAAAAGUGUUGUACGGGAGUUUGUUUUUUAAACUUGGGUGGUGUUUUG
rnacentral:lncRNA from 1 species